rnacentral:rRNA from 1 species
GAUGAACGCUGGCGGCGUGCCUAAUACAUGCAAGUCGAGCGAAUGGAUUAAGAGCUUGCUCUUAUGAAGUUAGCGGCGGACGGGUGAGUAACACGUGGGUAACCUGCCCAUAAGACUGGGAUAACUCCGGGAAACCGGGGCUAAUACCGGAUAACAUUUUGAACCGCAUGGGUCGAAAUUGAAAGGCGGCUUCGGCUUGCACUUAUGGAUGGACCAGCGUCGCAUUAGCUAGUUGGUGAGGUAACGGCUCACCAAGGCAACGAUGCGUAGCCGACCUGAGAGGGUGAUCGGCCACACUGGGACUGAGACACGGCCCAGACUCCUACGGGAGGCAGCAGUAGGGAAUCUUCCGCAAUGGACGAAAGUCUGACGGAGCAACGCCGCGUGAGUGAUGAAGGCUUUCGGGUCGUAAAACUCUGUUGUUAGGGAAGAACAAGUGCUAGUUGAAUAAGCUGACACCUUGACGGUACCUAACCAGAAAGCCACGGCUAACUACGUGCCAGCCGCCGCAGUAA